GGAAGCUCGCGGGACUAGUUGUGGGGACCAUUCCACGGUUUCCGUGACGCAGCUAACGCAUUAAGUUCCCCGCCUGGGGAGUACGGCCGCAAGGCUAAAACUCAAAGGAAUUGACGGGGACCCGCACAAGCGGCGGAGCAUGCGGAUUAAUUCGAUGCAACGCGAAGAACCUUACCAAGGCUUGACAUAUACGAGAACGGGCCAGAAAUGGUCAACUCUUUGGACACUCGUAAACAGGUGGUGCAUGGUUGUCGUCAGCUCGUGUCGUGAGAUGUUGGGUUAAGUCCCGCAACGAGCGCAACCCUCGUUCUAUGUUGCCAGCACGUAAUGGUGGGAACUCAUGGGAUACUGCCGGGGUCAACUCGGAGGAAGGUGGGGAUGACGUCAAAUCAUCAUGCCCCUUAUGUCUUGGGCUUCACGCAUGCUACAAUGGCCGGUACAAAGGGCUGCAAUACCGUGAGGUGGAGCGAAUCCCAAAAAGCCGGUCCCAGUUCGGAUUGAGGUCUGCAACUCGACCUCAUGAAGUCGGAGUCGCUAGUAAUCGCAGAUCAGCAACGCUGCGGUGAAUACGUUCCCGGGUCUUGUACACACCGCCCGUCAAGUCAUGAAAGUCGGUAACACCUGAAGCCGGUGGCCCAACCCUUGUGGAGGGAGCCGUCGAAGGUGGGAUCGGUAAUUAGGACUAAGUCGUAACAAGGUAGCCGUACCGGAAGGUGCGGCUGGUCCACCCUCCUUAA
rnacentral:rRNA from 1 species